AUUGAACGCUGGCGGCAUGCUUUACACAUGCAAGUCGAGCGGCAGCGCGGGGGCAACCCUGGCGGCGAGCGGCGAACGGGUGAGUAAUGCAUCGGAACGUAUCCUCGAGUGGGGGAUAACCCAGCGAAAGUUGGGCUAAUACCGCAUGAGCUCUGAGGAGGAAAGCGGGGGACCUGCGAGGGCCUCGCGCUGGAGGAGCGGCCGAUGUCCGAUUAGCUAGUUGGUGGGGUAAAGGCUUACCAAGGCGACGAUCGGUAGCUGGUCUGAGAGGAUGAUCAGCCACACUGGGACUGAGACACGGCCCAGACUCCUACGGGAGGCAGCAGUGGGGAAUUUUGGACAAUGGGGGCAACCCUGAUCCAGCCAUGCCGCGUGAGUGAAGAAGGCCUUCGGGUUGUAAAGCUCUUUCGGACGGAACGAAAUGGGCGGGACUAAUACUCCUGUGUGAUGACGGUACCGUAAGAAGAAGCACCGGCUAACUACGUG
rnacentral:rRNA from 1 species